rnacentral:rRNA from 1 species
GCCUACGGGGCGCAGCAGUGGGGGAUAUUGCACAAUGGGGGGAACCCUGAUGCAGCGACGCCGCGUGGGUGAAGAAGCGCCUCGGCGCGUAAAGCCCUGUCAGCAGGGAAGAAAAUGACGGUACCUGAAGAAGAAGCCCCGGCUAACUACGUGCCAGCAGCCGCGGUAAUACGUAGGGGGCAAGCGUUAUCCGGAUUUACUGGGUGUAAAGGGAGCGUAGGUGGCAUGGUAAGCCAGAAGUGAAAACCCAGGGCUCAACUCUGUGGAUUGCUUUUGGAACUAUCAAGCUAGAGUGCUGGAGGGGU